AUGGCGUCAUUUACAGAUCUCUCGGUACAACUUCUCUUGCUCGCCACCCUCUUUCCUACACUCGCACUAUCCUAUAUCAAUUCAGCUACCACAAGCAUACACCAAAAUGCCACAAAAUCCUCUGCUUAUCGUGCUUACAUCGUGCUCGUCCAGUCACCACCCUUGAAUGCAGUUUCUGGUAGUGACGCACAUCAUCAGUGGCAUGAGUCUUUCUUGUCGAGCUCGUUGGUAGGUGACUCUAUCAAGUCACGCCUUCUCUACUCCUACACGGAGGUGUUCAAUGGCUUUGCCGUGAGGCUCACUGAUGUCGAACUCGACAUGGUGUCCAAGAAGCCAGGAUUUGUGCGUGCAUUCCCAGACCAAACGCUGCAGCUAAUGACCACCCACACACCAGAGUUCCUUGGGCUAAGGAAUGGCACCGGGUUCUGGAGCCAGGCUGACUACAGGAAGGGAGUCAUCAUCGGGUUGCUCGACAGAGGCAUCUAUGCCGCGCACGCUUCCUUCAACGACCAUGGUGUUCCACCACCCCCCGCAAGGUGGAAGGGCUCAUGCGACGCGGGCCAGUGCAACAACAAGCUUAUCGGUGCCAAGUCACUGAUUGCGGGUGAUGACUCUGACGACGAAGAUGGGCAUGGAACACGCACCUCAUCCACAGCCGCCGGAAACUUCGUAACCGGUGCAUCAUACAAUGGUGUGGGCACAGGCACCGCGGCCGGAAUUGCCCCGAGCGCCCACAUUGCCAUGUAUAAGGUAUGUGUUGCUCGUGACUGCAAGUCAUCUGCCAUACUGGCCGGCCUAGAAGAGGCCAUCAAGGAUGGGGUGGACGUACUCUCGCUCUCCCUUGGCAGCAGCACAAGCGCCAACUUUGAUCAAGACCCUAUAUCUAUUGACGCGUUCAGUGCCGUGUCCAAGGGCAUCCUCGUGGUGUGCGCCGCUGGCAACAGUGGUCCGUUUCAGCGCCCUGUCACCAACGAAGCACCCUGGUUGCUCACGGUCGCUGCUAGCUCCGUGGACCGGAGCUUUGGCGCCAACAUCCAUCUCGGCAAUGGCAAGAGCAUUGACGGAGAAGCACUUACCCAGAUAGCGAAUCCAAGCUCAAAGUUGCACUCUCUCCUCUACUCCGAGGAAUAG
rnacentral:rRNA from 1 species